rnacentral:rRNA from 1 species
UACGUAGGGGGCUAGCGUUGUCCGGAAUCAUUGGGCGUAAAGCGCGCGUAGGCGGCCCGGUAAGUCCGCUGUGAAAGUCAAAGGCUCAACCUUUGAAUGUCAGCGGAUACUGCCGGGCUAGAGUCCGGAAGAGGCGAGUGGAAUUCCUGGUGUAGCGGUGGAAUGCGCAGAUAUCAGGAGGAACACCGGUGGCGAAGGCGGGUCUCUGGGCCGUAACUGACGCUGAGGAGCGAAAGCAUGGGGAGCGAACAGG